GAUGAACGCUGGCGGCGUGCCUAAUACAUGCAAGUCGAGCGAACAGACGAGGAGCUUGCUCCUCUGACGUUAGCGGCGGACGGGUGAGUAACACGUGGAUAACCUACCUAUAAGACUGGGAUAACUUCGGGAAACCGGAGCUAAUACCGGAUAAUAUAUUGAACCGCAUGGUUCAAUAGUGAAAGACGGUUUUGCUGUCACUUAUAGAUGGAUCCGCGCCGCAUUAGCUAGUUGGUAAGGUAACGGCUUACCAAGGCGACGAUGCGUAGCCGACCUGAGAGGGUGAUCGGCCACACUGGAACUGAGACACGGUCCAGACUCCUACGGGAGGCAGCAGUAGGGAAUCUUCCGCGAUGGGCGAAAGCCUGACGGAGCAACGCCGCGUGAGUGAUGAAGGUCUUCGGAUCGUAAAACUCUGUUAUUAGGGAAGAACAAAUGUGUAAGUAACUAUGCACGUCUUGACGGUACCUAAUCAGAGAGCCACGGCUAACUACGUG
rnacentral:rRNA from 1 species